rnacentral:lncRNA from 1 species
UGGGUUGAAUGUGCUUCUGAUCUGCAGCCAGCACCUUGGUAACUGUGCUUUUACUUUUAUUUUUUUGCAGAUCCAGGAUGCAUUUCCUUUGUCAAUGGAAGCUUAAACUGGCUAGUGGCAAACUUUGGCAACUUCUCAGGUUUAGCAAGCUUAAAGGAUUUGCUGGCUCUCAAUCCAAACUUUUCCAGCGUUCAAUUUCUAUCAGAGCUCGCUCCUUCUCAGAUGGCACAGUUAAUUGUGAGCACAAGCACCUCAAAUGACACAGUCCUGGUCGAUCGAGUCUUCAAUCAACUUGAGCAAGGGAAUGCUCUGAAAAAUGUGGACCAGUUCUUGACACAGCUGAGCAUGGAUGGACAGGUGCCAGAAUUGCAGCCUGUUGUCAGAGACUUCAUCAUGAACAGGACCUUCAAGAUCGUUGGUCCACAACUGGAAAAUUUCAACACAGAGGACUUUUACAUUUGGUUCCAUAUCAAACUGGUAUAUGUCCUUGCAAGUUUCACUCCAGAGAUGCUCCAGCUUACAGUCCAAACAACCAACUGUACAAACUACCACGUAGUGUAAGUUAACUUUUGCCAGCAGUCACUACCUAAUGCAUCCAACUUACAAGUAUCUGUGAGCUAAUGAUUAUACAUGAUUGUUUGGCUACGAUCUGCAGUGUGAGUGGCAUGGCCAUGGUGUACUCUUCCAUACCAGAGGAUACACAACAAGGACUUGCAAAUGUUCUCCUGGGCUACCUAAAAAAUCUUGCCGGUGAAAUCAACACACCAGGUAAGGUGACAUGCUACAAGAGGGAAGACUUGCCAUCCCAUUAAAAAUGCAAAAUAUAAGAAAGGUAGUCACUGAUAUAAAGACUGAUAUAAAGC